UGGUAUGAAGAGAUCUGAGGUGUAAGGAAUAUAAAAAAAGUCGCACUUUUUAUUGGGGUUUUUCUCAGAAAAUGCCUUUCAAAGUAUUUUCUCGGGAAAAUUAGCAGGUCGCACUUUUUCACUGCAGUGUUCUGGUCUUGGACUUACUGGGUCAAUGGGAUACCAGCUCGCAAGUUUGAUAGCGGUAACCAAUUUUUAUAUAAGCAAUAAUAAUCUUGGAAACCAGAUACCUUAUCAGCUUCCUCCAAAUUGCACGCAACUAAACCUUGCUGGAAAUGGCUUCACUGGUGGCAUCCCUUAUUCAAUAUCUUAGAUGACUUCCCUAAAAUACCUGUUAGUCAAGCAUCCGAAAUUUGAUUUUUAUUGUUCAUGU